AUCGCUUCUUGGCUCACCGAGCUUAGAUUAAGUGUAGUAUCUGUUCUUCUCAGGUUAGUACCCUGUGACGAAAACGAUUCGUUUCCUCUAUGUAUUAAUCGGAUUUUUGAACUUGGAGUACGGUGCUGGAGCUUGCUCCACCCUGCUCAUGGGUUGUCCUGGUAUUGCAUUG
rnacentral:snRNA from 1 species